UCUCUUGGUUGAGCAAAGAAAGUGGUUUCUUGAGAUGGAAUCUACUCCUGGUGAAGAUGCUGUGAA
rnacentral:pre_miRNA from 1 species